rfam:Spinacia oleracea cultivar SynViroflay scaffold36219.con0001.1, whole genome shotgun sequence.
GACUAUGGUGCGGGCAUUCUCUAUGCAAAUCCUUGAAUCUUUCCCAAACUUCAAACAAGCUCUCAUCUUCUUGUUGUGUAAUAGAAAUGAUCUAGCUUCCCAGAC